UCUAUGUCCUGAGAGCAGCGUGAUGCUGCACAGCCAGGCUCCUCCCACUGGCACCUUGACGUCAACGUCACGCAGUAACCAUGGCAACACGCAGAGAAACUACUCUCAUGCUUUACUCCAGCACCGAGUCCAAUGAAAUGGAGCACAGAGAUCAGAACAUGAGAGCUGACCUAGAUUGGGAGGAGCAGGUUGUUAGGAAUGAAGAGAGAGAAAUGAAGCCAACAAAAAAAAAAAGAAAGUUGCUCAUUAAUUACACAGUUAUUAGUCAUUUUAUUUUAUUCAGAGGAAUAUUCAAAAGUGGUUAAAUCACGAGGCAUGCAGACAUUGGAAAUGUAUGUGUGCACUGUCGUGGUAAAAGUGGUGUGCAUGGAAUUGCCGUCUGUGACUUCACUACAGUGAAAGCAAAGCAUCUCAAACAAGUGUCAUAGAAAAAAAGAAGCACAGAACAGUCCAUGUCUAGAUGUAUGCACUGCAUAUUUGCAUAUUUGCACAUUUAAUGGAAGUUCAGGUGGCCACGCUGCUCC